CAUAUAAAUUAGAUAUUUUACUUUUCAUACAACUUUGUAUCACAUACAUCAAACCUAAAGUUUCAAGAUCUAAAAUUUUAUAAAAAAAUAAGUUCUUCCUUUCAUGUUCUUCUUCAUGGGAUUUAAUCACAUGGCACCUCUACAUACCAUAAGAGUACCCCAUCGAAUGGAAAGAGGGGGCAUUUAAAUCUUUUUUGCUA
rnacentral:lncRNA from 1 species